rnacentral:tRNA from 1 species
AAUUUUAUAGUUUAAAAUAUUAGAAAAUUUUGGUCUUGUAAAUCAAGGAUGCUGAUUUAGCUAGAAUUG